CCUCUAUGAACGCACACACGCACAUCUUAUCCUUAUUGAUGAUGUGAUUACAUAUAGGGAAACACUUGUGCUCAUACGUCUGAUACAGGAAGGAAACAUCAGAUCAAUUGCUCACCGCUUAUUCCCACAUCAUCCCACGGUCGAGAUCUCGCUGAAAAAAGGGUCCAAACCAACCGAUUACCACACACCCACCCUUCGCAUACAUUCGGCCAUCCCGUACCUCUAUCCCCAAAUCACCCCCUUUCUCGUUCCACUCUCCUCACCGCGCCGACGAGCUCUCCAUCCGUCGUGCCGCCCUUGUUCUCUUGUCCAGCGUCGUUUGACCCUGGUCACCGUCAAGCUCACGCUCCCUGCCCUGCUUCCGGCGCACUGCACCGCCGGCCGGCCACCGAUAUUCUCUGUUUUCACGAUCCAGGACGACCAGACAUUUUAAAGCACCUUCUUAUUCCAACAAUGCCUUUUUAUUCCCAAUACAAUUCCAAUGAUGUUACCAUCACACUGAGUGUGCUUUCAACGGGACCAGACGUCGACUUAUGUUCGCCGACUGCCUUGUCAAGGAUAGAGAGCUUAUGGCGCGCGUGCAAGAUCAAUCAGUUCAGCAGGCACUGCGACUUAGGCUAGCGGUGGAAAUGAAAAUAUUGUUGUUGUAAUAAUGUUUCUCAUUUAUUUUUGUAAAAAUAGGCGUAAACCGUUAGUCAUAUCGAGUAUAUUUGUAUACAUGGUCUGUGAGUUCUAUCAUGCUUCCACACUAUGAAGCAAUAUUGAUACAAUCAGGAAGCAAAUAACAUGGCCAUGUGCAUACAUUUUGGUUUACUA